GGCUGCUGCCCUGUCUUCCUGUGUGACCUCACACUAGCCCUGUGAGAGUGACAGGCCUGGUCUACCACUCCAGGUGACGGCUGGAGAAACCACGGUGCAGAGAAGUCAGUGAUUUGCCCGAGAUCACAGAGUCAAAAGCAAAGCUGAGGUCCGUGAGCCAGGUUUCCUCCCUCAAAAGGAUGCCUCACUUCCUGGGGCCUCACCCUUCUGCAAUCUCUCUGAGCCU